AUAGAGAGGAAAAAAUAAUCAUCACAAAUGUAAGAAAUAAAAUGUCUGUAUCAUUAUUCUAAAAAUUAUUUUAAAAAAAUAAAAAAAUAUGCACAUUCCUAGCUUAAUUUUUAGCACGACAUAUGACACAAACAUUUUGUACUUUGCAGAUUACUUUUAUAUUUUUUUAUACAUAUACAGAUUGUGUAAUACUGCCCCUGACGUAGGGUGACCACAUUUCCUAACUGCCAUUCAGUGACACUUUCAGAAAUGCAUUCCAUACAUUUUACUACCUGUCUCUACCCCUUCCAUUUAUAUUAGAACCCCUUUCCAUGUAAAUUAGAGAUUAGUGCCGCGAAUAAUAUGCUAGAUUGCCUACUUACAACCAGAUGAGGAUGAUGAUGGGCUCUAGCUGCAGUCUGGCUCCACUGGUAUGGUGUAGAACAGGCUCUCCGGAGGCUGUUUGUAACUGUGGUCACAAAAAUCAAUGUUCUGGGAGAACGGGAAGCAGCUCCAUUUUUUGGGGGCCCUUUACACAGCUCAAGGUCUGGGUCCCAGGGUCCACCUUAAUGUUCCACCAAUGAGUUUGUUCACAGGGGGUGGAGUGUGUAGGGGAUGUCCUGAUAUGUGUGUAAGGAAUGCAUUGUGUGAAUCUGUGUUUGUAUGUGUAAGGGCUGCAAGGUGUGUUUCUGUGUAUGUACGGGAUGCAGUGUGUGCGUCUGUAAGGGGUGCAUUGAGUGUGUGUACGGGGUGCAUUUAGUGUGUGUAAGGAAUGCAU